GGCCAGGCAGACCCUCCGCCGGACACGACUCCGGGAGAAACGUGUUUUAAAUCCAAGCUCUUGAGCUUCUAACCGGGGAGCGCGCGCGAGUGUGUGAAGAGGCUGGGAACCUUGGUUUUCAGAGACUCUAGAAGAAACUUCUCGCCUCCCUCUCCUCCCGAGGACAGCCGGGACUGUGGGUGAACGAGUCUCAUCGGGUCGGGUCGGGGCCCUGCGGGACCGGUUUGCCUGACCCGACCGCGCUCGCAUUGGAAAGCCGAGGCUCGAUCGGCCGGCCGGGCUGCCUAACCCCCGCCCCACAGCAGCGGCGUCCCUCGCGCGCCGCCGCGUUUCCCGCGCUCUCGGCCGGUACUUCCCGGCGCGGCCUACAAGGCCCCGUGCGGCCCCGCCUCCGGGUCCCGCUCGGUCUCCGGCUGCGAGAGGGAAGGCGGAGGUUAUCCGCCGAGGGACCAGCGGCGCGGACCGACCUGAGAAUAUGUACAUUCUUCAUGCUGUGCUUAGUCGCUCAGUCAUGUCCGGCUCUUUGGGACUCCGUGGACUGUAGCCUGACAGGCUCCUUGGUUUAUGGGGAUUCUUCAGGCAAGACUGCUGGAGUGGGUUGCCAUUGCCUUCCUUCAGGGGAUCUUCCCAGCACAGGGAUCGAAUCCAGGACUACCGCUUUGCAGGCAAUUCUUUACCAUCUGAACCACCAUGGAUAUCCAAUAGCAGUGCUCUUGGAUUGGCUGGGAAUCGAACCCAGGCCUCCCACAUGACAGCUGCCAAAGGUCAUCUGACAUAAUAGCUGAUGAAUUCAAGCCCAGUGGAUUUCAUUUGCAAUUUUCAAUUUACCGAGGCCUCCAAACCCCACGGUGAUAAAAGCUUCCCCUAUCGUGGCCUGUCACAAACAUCAAGAAACUGCACAAACCCACAAGAAAGAAAAAAGAGAAAGCUGUGCAUCCUUGCAGGUACAGAUAAGGAGAACAGGAAGGAAUGGUAUCAUGCAGGAAGGUACGGAGCAGCUUGUGUGGCUAGUUCUCUAAAUGCCAAUUGAAAGGAAAAGACUAUGAAGAACAAUCAAAUAACUUCCACAGAAUAACAUCAUGUUUCUUUGGGGCUUGCGUGUGAAAAUUGCCUUCUAAUCUCUUACUUGACAUGUCCUCAAACAAAAAUGUGAGUGUAAAUAUGUGAAUAAAUAAAUGAAUAAAUAAUCCUUGCUUAUUUAGUCCCUGAAAAGAAAGUAUGCUCUGUAUGUUGUAUUUACCAUAGUUUUGAUUUACAAAAUGCAGGCUUGUAAAGGCUCUUUUAUCAUGGCAGUGUCGGUCAGCACUAAGAAAUCAUUUGUUUUGUUACAGAGAAAUGGUAGAUCCUUUGACUGAUCUGUAAAGGCAGUCAAAGGACUGGCUAGCAACUACUUGUAAGUGGAUCUAGACAGUGUAUAUCAAUGUAUUAGCAAGAAGAAAGCCAUUUCCCCCCUUUGUCAAGGUAUUUAUAGUGAACUUAGGCAAGAUCAGGGACUGAAUCCUGCUCCCAGCAGUUCAAAUUGAGGAGACCAUAUUCGUGUUCCUUGGAGAAUGGCAAGUUUAAAAGCCAAGCAGUCCAUCUUCAUCCUAUGCUACUCAACUCAUACCACAGCCAAUGAAAAGAGAGCAGAGAGAUGGACUUUGAGAGGUAACUGCUGGGAGAAUUUAAUUUCAGACGUGGAUGUCUGGAUCCCAUUUCUACCAAAUAGAUUCAGAAAGCCUUACGAAAUUGGUCUAAUGAGGCAAGAGGACUUGGCAGUGGGCAUCUACCAAACCUGCCUAAUGACAGCAUUUCUCAUGACAGUUGACAAGAAAACCCGAGCAUGACAUCAACAGGGCUAGGAUAUUUACUUCAUUUGUGUGUUGAUAACUGUGAGACAAUCAGAGUUUGGACAGGAAAGGAGAUAAUUCCUGGUUGAACUGAUAUGACUGAGAAAGAUUGCCUCUUACAGAAUCACUAUUUAAAUUGUCACAGUAAAAAAUAACAACAUGGGUUAUUCAUCAUAUUUGAAUCCUUAGUUCUUUGAAAUUUAGCUGUUAGGAUUUUCUAUUAGUCAAAAAUUUAAUGACCUUUUAAUUCUUGAAACUCUCAAAAUAGAAAAUAUGGUUUCCUCAGCAGUUAAAGAUGGCAGGAAUUAACAUUUUGAAAUAAGGGAUAUAAAAUUUUAUUCUUAAGCUGCAGAAAAUAUGGAAAGUAGCCAUAUUUUAGUGUUUUUUUGGUCAGGAUGCUACUUUUCAAAGGUUACUUACCCCUUGCCCCUCCCCGCCCUUUUUUUUAGUUUUUAUAGGAAGAAUCAAAGAGAACUGUCUAUAAUUUGCAGUUUCUAUGAUUUCUCUUUGAUUGUUA
ensembl:lncRNA